rnacentral:rRNA from 1 species
GACGAACGCUGGCGGCGUGCCUAAUACAUGCAAGUAGAACGCUGAAGGAGGAGCUUGCUCUUCUGGAUGAGUUGCGAACGGGUGAGUAACGCGUAGGUAACCUGCCUGGUAGCGGGGGAUAACUAUUGGAAACGAUAGCUAAUACCGCAUAAAAUUGAUUAUUGCAUGAUAGUCAAUUAAAAGGUGCAAUUGCAUCACUACCAGAUGGACCUGCGUUGUAUUAGCUAGUUGGUGAGGUAACGGCUCACCAAGGCAACGAUACAUAGCCGACCUGAGAGGGUGAUCGGCCACACUGGGACUGAGACACGGCCCAGACUCCUACGGGAGGCAGCAGUAGGGAAUCUUCGGCAAUGGACGGAAGUCUGACCGAGCAACGCCGCGUGAGUGAAGAAGGGUUUCGGAUCGUGAAGCUCUGUUGUAAGAGAAGAACGAGUGUGAGAGUGGAAAGUUCACACUGUGACGGUAUCUUACCAGAAAGGGACGGCUAACUACGUG